CACACCGUGGCGCAGAGGAAGCGCACCAGGCUCAUAACCUGGGGGACACAGGAUCGAAACCUGUCGGUGUGA